GUAAAUUUCCUUUUAUAAUUAUAAGGAACCCUAACCCUAGAAUUUUCAAUGGAGGAGGAACUCGAACCCUAAAAAUUUUCGUAAACAAGGAACCCGACCCCUGUAAACCCAACGCCAUUUUUUUGCUGCAGCUGCACUUUUAAGUUCUGAGCGCUUGAUUAAGAGAAUAAAGUGUUAAUGGAGGAAGAUGAAAAUAUCCCAAAAUGCAGCAACCUGCGGUAUGGUUUAUAGAUUUACCUGGAGGCCGUUGUUUCUUAGAAUGGGCGGAAUUGGAAAGAGAACCCACUGUUGGGCUUUAGAUGCAAGCGAACGAAAUAGUGUAUAUUCUGAGAACCAAGUCGCAGAAGCUGUGGUUUCAAAAAUACUAAAUCGCAGCAGCAAAUUUUGAAAGAUUUUUUCUCAGAUUAUAUUGGUGGGACUGAUAUAAUUAAGAGAUUGUAAAGAUGGUCGAGGUCAUCUGUCAUCCCUGUUUAUCUGAAACAGGAUGUUGUAGGAGUUGGGAGGCCUUCCUCAAGGUAGCAAAAUUUUGAUGUGUGUAGUCUCUAUCCCACGAAGAUUGCCGAUGAAGAUUGUCUCAUGAAAAUGCUAUUGGCCUUCAAAAUAUUUGGUGUUCAGUUAUAUAAGCAAAGCUAUCAAGCUGAGAAAUUGCUCAAUAGAUAUGAAUUGUUCUUUAAUAAGACUAGAUUCAAAGGAAAAAAUAUUUUAGCUUUCCAAAUUGAGUGUAUAGACAAUACACAUUGCCUCCAUUGUAGUGAGAAAUAACUUUCUGCCCAUGCAACCAAUAUAAACUUUGGUUUCAUGAAUUAAAGGCCAAACACGAAUUGAGGUAUAAAUAGUAAGUCAAGGAAGAUCAACCGAGAUAUUUUAGGCUGAUGGAUGGAAAUACAAUGGAAAAUACUGCAAUUCUGCAAUUGUACUUACACCUUCUGAGUUGUGUUCACUUACACCACUACAUCUUUCUAUGAUGUUUUUUUCAAAGUGCUUUGAACAAGAGAACAUAAAUAAAUUUCAUCAAUUCAGAUGGUGCCAUUUUCAUCUAGAUCACUCAGCCUUGAAGUCUACUGAAGUGGAGCAUAUACAAAGUUCCAAAGAAAAUACCCCACAGAAGGAUUGUCAAUACCCUGGUCUGUCAAGCACUUUUGGCUGUCUCUGCAUAUUUUCUCAAAGAGUUAUAAAUGAGCCGAGGAUCAAUUAUUUGGUCAGCUAUGCCUCUUUUCUGCCAAUGCAUAGACCAUAGAUAGCCUCACCAUUUGACUAUUUUGGCUCUUUUUCUAUAUUUUCCAGCAUACAGAUCAACCCGUGAAAACACCUAUCUCAUGCCGGUAAACUUUGUUAGAAAAGGCUAUAUUUUGUGCCUUGUUCCAGUUGGGAAGUUAUCUCACAUCAUCAAAUCUAUUUCACACCGGUAAAAUUUGCCAGAAAACUUGUAUUCAAUUUGGGAGGUGUAUCCUUAAUGAUGAAUUACCUUUCUCUACAAUGAGGGAAUCAUCUUUAUCUGGUUUCUAAUUUUUUGGUGUGAAUAACAUGUUGAAAUAAGUGAAUGUCUGGAAGAAAUUGCAUGAAUGCCUUCAAAGAUAAUAUCUAAUAUCUUUGCAGCAAAUGCAUAUCAAUAUGGGUCAAUGUAAUUUACUACUGGUAUAGCUAGGAUAGCUAUUUUUGCAGUAAAUGCAGUAUUAACGAUGUUACUACUGGCUGCCAUUUGCCAUACGAAAUUGUAAAAAUGAAUGUUCUUCCUUUGGUAUAUUGGAAUUUUCCAGGAUAACUACUUUUGUAUAUAUUUCUGUUAUAAUAUCUUCUA